GUCCUUAUUGCUUUUGGUCAGAUGCAAUAUUUUUCUAAUCAACAAUUUUAUGUUCUUCUGUGGAUUUGACCUUCUGAUGGAUUUUCCUGCAUUGAUCACACACCAAUAAAUUACACAGUAAACAUUUCCACUUGAUUUUACUUUCUUCUUCACACAUUUGACAUGCUAAAACUGUCUAUCCUUUCUGGAAAGAUUUUGAUGAAGCCAUUUUCUGUGUAU
rnacentral:lncRNA from 1 species